rnacentral:rRNA from 1 species
CUGGGAGGACCAUCUCCUAAGGCUAAAUACUCUCUAGUGACCGAUAGUGAACCAGUACCGUGAGGGAAAGGUGAAAAGCACCCCGGAAGGGGAGUGAAAUAGAACCUGAAACCGUGUGCUUACAAGUAGUCAGAGCCCGUUAAUGGGUGAUGGCGUGCCUUUUGUAGAAUGAACCGGCGAGUUACGAUUUGAUGCAAGGUUAAGCAGUAAAUGUGGAGCCGUAGCGAAAGCGAGUCUGAAUAGGGCGUUUAGUAUUUGGUCGUAGACCCGAAACCAGGUGAUCUACCCUUGGUCAGGUUGAAGUUCAGGUAACACUGAAUGGAGGACCGAACCGACUUACGUUGAAAAGUGAGCGGAUGAACUGAGGGUAGCGGAGAAAUUCCAAUCGAACCUGGAGAUAGCUGGUUCUCUCCGAAAUAGCUUUAGGGCUAGCCUCAAGUGAUGAUUAUUGGAGGUAGAGCACUGUUUGGACGAGGGGCCCCUCUCGGGUUACCGAAUUCAGACAAACUCCGAAUGCCAAUUAAUUUAACUUGGGAGUCAGAACAUGGGUGAUAAGGUCCGUGUUCGAAAGGGAAACAGCCCAGACCACCAGCUAAGGUCCCAAAAUAUAUGUUAAGUGGAAAAGGAUGUGGCGUUGCCCAGACAACUAGGAUGUUGGCUUAGAAGCAGCCAUCAUUUAAAGAGUGCGUAAUAGCUCACUAGUCGAGUGACACUGCGCCGAAAAUGUACCGGGGCUAAACAUAUUACCGAAGCUGUGGAUUGUCCUUUGGACAAUGGUAGGAGAGCGUUCUAAGGGCGUUGAAGCAUGAUCGUAAGGACAUGUGGAGCGCUUAGAAGUGAGAAUGCCGGUGUGAGUAGCGAAAGACGGGUGAGAAUCCCGUCCACCGAUUGACUAAGGUUUCCAGAGGAAGGCUCGUCCGCUCUGGGUUAGUCGGGUCCUAAGCUGAGGCCGACAGGCGUAGGCGAUGGAUAACAGGUUGAUAUUCCUGUACCACCUAUAAUCGUUUUAAUCGAUGGGGGGACGCAGUAGGAUAGGCGAAGCGUGCGAUUGGAUUGCACGUCUAAGCAGUAAGGCUGAGUAUUAGGCAAAUCCGGUACUCGUUAAGGCUGAGCUAUGAUGGGGAGAAGACAUUGAGUCUUCGAGUCGUUGAUUUCACACUGCCGAGAAAAGCCUCUAGAUAGAAAAUAGGUGCCCGUACCGCAAACCGACACAGGUAGUCAAGAUGAGAAUUCUAAGGUGAGCGAGCGAACUCUCGUUAAGGAACUCGGCAAAAUGACCCCGUAACUUCGGGAGAAGGGGUGCUCUUUAGGGUUAACGCCCAGAAGAGCCGCAGUGAAUAGGCCCAAGCGACUGUUUAUCAAAAACACAGGUCUCUGCUAAACCGUAAGGUGAUGUAUAGGGGCUGACGCCUGCCCGGUGCUGGAAGGUUAAGAGGAGUGGUUAGCUUCUGCGAAGCUACGAAUCGAAGCCCCAGUAAACGGCGGCCGUAACUAUAACGGUCCUAAGGUAGCGAAAUUCCUUGUCGGGUAAGUUCCGACCCGCACGAAAGGCGUAACGAUUUGGGCACUGUCUCAACGAGAGACUCGGUGAAAUCAUAGUACCUGUGAAGAUGCAGGUUACCCGCGACAGGACGGAAAGACCCCGUGGAGCUUUACUGUAGCCUGAUAUUGAAAUUCGGCACAGCUUGUACAGGAUAGGUAGGAGCCUUUGAAACGUGAGCGCUAGCUUACGUGGAGGCGCUGGUGGGAUACUACCCUAGCUGUGUUGGCUUUCUAACCCGCACCACUUAUCGUGGUGGGAGACAGUGUCAGGCGGGCAGUUUGACUGGGGCGGUCGCCUCCUAAAAGGUAACGGAGGCGCUCAAAGGUUCCCUCAGAAUGGUUGGAAAUCAUUCAUAGAGUGUAAAGGCAUAAGGGAGCUUGACUGCGAGACCUACAAGUCGAGCAGGGUCGAAAGACGGACUUAGUGAUCCGGUGGUUCCGCAUGGAAGGGCCAUCGCUCAACGGAUAAAAGCUACCCCGGGGAUAACAGGCUUAUCUCCCCCAAGAGUUCACAUCGACGGGGAGGUUUGGCACCUCGAUGUCGGCUCAUCGCAUCCUGGGGCUGUAGUCGGUCCCAAGGGUUGGGCUGUUCGCCCAUUAAAGCGGUACGCGAGCUGGGUUCAGAACGUCGUGAGACAGUUCGGUCCCUAUCCGUCGUGGGCGUAGGAAAUUUGAGAGGAGCUGUCCUUAGUACGAGAGGACCGGGAUGGACAUACCUCUGGUGUACCAGUUGUCGUGCCAACGGCAUAGCUGGGUAGCUAUGUGUGGACGGGAUAAGUGCUGAAAGCAUCUAAGCAUGAAGCCCCCCUCAAGAUGAGAUUUCCCAACUUCGGUUAUAAGAUCCCUCAAAGAUGAUGAGGUUAAUAGGUUCGAGGUGGAAGCAUGGUGACAUGUGGAGCUGACGAAUACUAAUCGAUCGAAGACUUAAUCAA